UCGAUUCCGCAGCCAUACCAACCUCGUUUUCGCUUGAAAUCACAACCUCCUACAAUCUUGGAGCGAACGCCGAUGACCUCUUCACGUCGCCGGAUUCGGAGAACUAAGGAGGUAAAGUUUGAGAUCUUAGCCUUGUUUCGAUCUCGUCUAGGAUUCCAUAGUUGUUCCUCUCGUUGUUAAGUUGGCUUCGUUUAGGUUGUAGGUAAUCCGAGGGACUCUCGACGAACGUUCGACGGUGGCCGAUAUGAAACCUUCAAUCGAUCGUCCAUCUCUUCCUAAGUUAGGUAAGGGAUUUGUUUUCCAUUUACAGUGGACUUUGUUUCGUCGGGGUUGUACCUAAACCCAUUCGUGUUUGGAUUGAUGAUUGAAAACUAAGAAAUAGGGCCCGACGUCGGCGAAGUUGUGAAGCUUUGAGUUGGUGUUUCAUAGAGAUUCAGAGCCUCCAAACUAGUGGGAAAGCUUUGUAUUAAGGUUAGAAACUGAUUCAUAGAACUUAAAUUAAUUUUCCGGUAUGAUUUCAUCACCCUCGUCGGAGUCUGGAUUUCGUUCGCCGAAAUCUAAGAAUUUUUCGGCGAGUCUGAUGAUGCAUGGGUGGAAGAAUAUGGUUGAACCGAAACGGUCCUGACCUGUUUCGGUUAAACCGGUUCGAGUUUGGUGCAUAGUUUCAGAAUCCGUCCCUGAACUUUAGAUGAAAUGUCAAGUUAGUCAUUGUAAUAGUUAGAAAGUCUAUGUAGUCAACUCGUUAGGCCUUCGUAGUCUGAAACUUUUAGAUCUUGAUAGUUCCGACCAAAUUGACUUUAGCGAAUUUACAAAUCAGCCCUUUUAGUGAUGAAUCCUAUUAUCUGGUUCAUUCGACUCUAGAAUCGAUCUUAAUUAGAUUGUGAAACCAAUAAUGUUAUUGUUCAAGAUUAAUAAUAUGAAUAUCCUAGUUUCAUUAAGAUUAGAUAAUAUUUAGAAUUAUAACUUAAUAAUAGAAUUAGAAAUUGCUUAGUUUGAUUAAGAAUUUAGUUCUCCUUCCACAUAGAGUAAUUGAAAGCUUCUAUCAUCUUAUGGAUGAUAAAAACCUUAUAUAGAAUUACCCUCCUUAGAUGUCAUGAUUAAGAUAACUCUCCUUAAGUUAGGUUCUUCCUCUUAUCUCGAAUCAAUGUCGAAAUGAUUCAUCUUCUUGUCACUUCAGAUUUAAAAUGAGAAAUAAUUUCUUCGAAUGGUGCCAAGCAUCAACCUAGAUUCUCCGACUAUUUCAGUUUCUUAACCUAAUCUUUAUCCUUGUCUUUAGGCUCUUAAAGGCGGUCCAGUUCUAGUGCUUAUCUCAUUUCUUUUCCUCCACCAGACCUUCACCGCUCGAUUUCCUAGAUUGGUUUAAGGGAGUAAAUUCUUGUUGUGUAUUGAAAUUACAUUAUGCAAUGAUUUAUGAUUAUUGAACUUCCCAUAAAUCAUGAUUAUCCUAAUAAUUAAAUAAGAUUAAGAUUCAUGUGAUCAAAUAAUACACUCAACCCUAGCUAGACCAUCGCCCCCAUUAUGAUUUACGGGGCGGGUUUUUCCCAUUAUGAUUUACGGGCCGAGAUUUGCCCUCUAUGAUUUAUGAUACCGUCUGAUGGAUACGUAAUCAGAGACCUCUAUAAUUCUAGCGCUAGGGCGGUGGGCUAGUUAGCAGAGUUAGGGGGCCUUAGGUAAGAACAUGAUCAGAAGUGCAUAUGACUUCUACUGAAUAUUUACUAAGACUCACGAUAUACUUAAAGCCAAUAAAUAAUACUCCAUGAUUAUGAAUAACUCUUAAUUAACUUGUGAUAAUGAAACCUUAAGAUUACGAUAAUGAACAAUCAAGACUAACACCGAGCCACCCACUAGGUCAUGCAAAAGGAGCUAGAGAUCAGCCAACCUCAGAAGAGUGCGAUCGUUGUCCAUCAAGUCGCAGGACUCAGAGUGAGUGACAAGCUUAAGAGGUCGAGUAUUUGCAGUUUAUGGAGUUAAACUUGAGACUAUUUCUUUCAGACUUUUGUUGUUCGAUUUUAUUGUUGGGCACCCACUUGUUAGGGUUCUAUUUCAUCUUUGACUAUAAUGAUUUUUGUUAGCGAUUUUGGAUCGAUUCUAUCAAUUUUUUUUUGGAUCCAUUUAAUAGUCUCAGACAUUUUGGUCAUUUAAUAAAUGUUAGGAGUUUAGGGCUUGACAUUUGUUCUAAUUAUGGAGUUGAAUGGGUUUCCUUUCAAUAGGUCGAACAUUAUUAGAAUCGCC
rnacentral:lncRNA from 1 species